AAUGAACGUUGGCGGCGUGGAUUAGGCAUGCAAGUCGAACGGGCCUGGUUUUCGGAUCAGGUCAGUGGCGCAAGGGUGAGUAAGGCGACGGUAACCAACCCCAAGGUUGGGUAUAGCCGCGGGAAACUGCGGGUAAUCCCCAGCGAUGUAAGAUGCCGGCAUCGGUGUUUUAUCAAAGCUUUGGCGCCGUGGGACGGGCCGUCGUGGUAUUAGGUAGUUGGCGGGGUAACGGCCCACCAAGCCGAUGAUGCCUACCGGGCGUGCGAGCGUGGCCCGGCACACUGGGACUGAGACACUGCCCAGACUCCUACGGGAGGCUGCAGUCGAGAAUCUUCGGCAAUGGGCGCAAGCCUGACCGAGCGACGCCGCGUGGAGGAUGAAGGCCUACGGGUUGUAAACUCCUGUCGAGGGGGAGGAAGGGGAAACCUUGACCGAUCCCUGGAGGAAGCACGGGCUAAGUUCGUGCCAGCAGCCGCGGUAAGACGAACCGUGCGAACGUUAUUCGGAAUCACUGGGCUUAAAGCGCGUGUAGGCGGAUGGGAACGUCGGAUACUGAAAGCCCCCGGCUCAACCGGGGAAGUGGUUCCGAAACGACCUGUCUGGAGGGACGUAGGGGGAUCUGGAACUUCCGGUGGAGCGGUGAAAUGCGUUGAGAUCGGAAGGAACGCCCGUGGCGAAAGCGAGGUCCUGGACGUCUGCUGACGCUGAGACGCGAAAGCUAGGGGAGCAAACGGGAUUAGAUACCCCGGUAGUCCUAGCCGUAAACGAUGGGCACUGGGUAGGGGGCUCGCCGAUGGGCUCUCUGCCGUAGCGAAAGCGUGAAGUGCCCCGCCUGGGGAGUAUGGUCGCAAGGCUG
rnacentral:rRNA from 1 species